rnacentral:sRNA from 1 species
GAGGCAGGUGUGGGGUAGGUGUGAGGUAGGAGGACAUGGACUCUGGAUGACAGGAGCAGAUUCUACACACAGUGGAUGUGCCAUCCCAAAAGGAGGAUUCAGAACCACCAGGUCAGUCAACAUCCCAAGAGAUUUGUUUUUAAGAGAUACCAGAAAUAUAUUAAAAUAUAAAACCAUUCACAUUUUAACCAUUAACAAUUAAAACAACUUAACCUUCAACUCCCUGUUCUCUCCAUGAUCCAAAGCAUAAAGGCAGUGACCAGCAGUGACCAGCAGGCCAGCCAGGACAAGUUCUCACAGAUGGCUGACAGAAGCUCCCUGUGGGUGGGAUAGUUGUGUCUGUGUAGACACAUGGUUGGCUCUCAUUGGAAUUUGGCUGAAUGAAUAAAUUCUCCCAGAGUAUGUCUGUGGGACAGAGACUGCUCUGCUCAUUUUACAGACAGGAACUUGAAGCUCACCCCAGUGAAGUCAAGUCCCAUCACAAUUCAGUUCCUAGCCGUGAUGAUCAGCGUUCAAACCUGGGACCCCUUACUGUGGGGGAUGCUGUAAGGAGCAGGUCCUUCUCUAGAUGUCAGAGAGCUCUGCAACAGGGAGGUCUGGGGCAUGGGCAUUGGUAACAGUCAUGGGCAGAACUCAGGGGCAAUAGGAGCACAUAAGGCAGGCUGGUCACCAGCCUCUUGUGUGUCACAAGGAGGCCAGAGACUCUCAGUCCCCAAAGCAGUUAUGCUGCUUUUGUAUGAUUGUGCAUAAAGGAGGCAGGCCUGGGUAUCCUGAAAGAUAAUGGGAGGGAUGGAGAGGAGGUCAGGAUGGCCAAAGGCGAGCCUUCCACCUCCCAGAGCACAUCUGUUUUUAUAGAGCUUGGUUGGGGGGAAGGCAGUGAGAAAGCCCCUGCUUCUAUAGAGGUUUGGGAUGGGGAUGGCAGAUGCUUGAGACCUCCUAGAGAGCCCUGUAACUUAAGAAUCCUCUCUGAUUUUAUUAUCCAGAGGAAAUAUGGGGAGCUAAAUGAGAGGAGAUGGCCUGCAAGUGCAUUAUGGGACGUCAAGCAAUAGCUGACCAGCAUCAGACACAAAUAAAUGACCUGUGAUCGACUGCCAAGAAUCUGGAUGUCCCCGAUCAGUGGUCUGGCAGGCUUCCAGUCAACAGAGUGUGUAGCUGGACAUUGUAUAGACCACAAAAGUAACGACGGGGGGUUCCAUCGCCCAAACAGAACCGCGUCCUCCCCGGUGGUCACGCUCUACCGCACUAGAUUUGUGCCUUUUCCUGAUCUGGAUUCUGAAAUGUGGAUCCGCAAAUGUCCUGGGAAAGUUCCCACUUGCCUUCUUCCUGCCUGGCUGGGAAACCUUUAUAGAGCUUAUGUCCAUGUAGGCAGAGGGUAGGGUGGCUCGUGGAGGUUGCCUUGGUUACAAGGAGAUCCCCAUCGUCCAAAACACCCUGACUCACUCUGAUUUUUAGGUUCCCACUAACAUCAAAGUGUCAGAGAGAUCAACCGGUGACAGGGCAAGCCACGCACACACUUACAAAGCAGAGUCAGCUGAACGGGGAGCUGUGUGUCUGAACCAGAGCACACGAGAGAGAAGACUAAGACAGAGCGGUGACUGAUACCUAGGCCACUCUGACCUGUGUGGUGAGUUCAAGGCCACGAGGACAAUAAGAGGAGAUCAAAAGCCAACAACAACAGCAGCCACCUAAGUCAGGAUUCAAUUGUUGGCUGGAACUUUGGGUACGGACCACUUGAGAACAAGGUAGGAGGGAAGGAAUGACGAAGGACAGAGAGGAGAGUUUCCGAGGACAGAGGGGCAGCCUCUCGGUACUGAGAAGGACACUUGCGCAUUUAUCCAGACCUGAAGCAGAUUCGGACUCCACUCUCCAGAUCUCCCACAGCCCAGCUGUGUGGCCUCGGGUGAGUUCUCUAACUAACCUCUCUGCGCCUGGGUAUCUUUUUCAAAGAAGCAAGAGUGUUGCUCUAACUCCACCCCAGGUGUGUGAUUAUCACAUGCAUCUUAUGGGUCUAUGCCUUAUCCUUCUAGCAGCCACACCUACUGAACGUCUACCCGUAAGUGGACACUAGUACCAAGUUGGUCUAUGGACCCAGACAGAACACAGCCAGCCAGGGUCAGCCCAUAGCAUGACAGAUGAGAUGACCUUCAAGUGACCCACAAGACAUGAACUUCAGCAAUAAAUGAUCCCAACUUUAAGCGUCAGAGGGUAAGCUUAUUACCCACCAAAAUGGCUAAGGCAAGGCACUCCAAGCUCCUGGCACUUUUAACAGACUCUGUUCUGAGCUGUAUCUGUCACUUUCCUGCCUUCAGAUGUUCAACAGUUCCUCAGUGUUUACUGGGCCAUCCGUGAUCACCACAAUGAGAACCAGUUCCUACUCAGGGUCACCCACAAGGGUUGUGUUGUCUCAUCCCCCUCAACCACUCUUUGUGGUCGCGAAACCAUUUCCCAGUUCUUUACUGUUUUUUUCUUUCCUGUCCUGGUAUUCAGCCCAGUUUGUCUCAAACUUGAGCUUCUCCCGCCCCAGGUCACGAGAAGGCUGGGUCACAGGUGUGCACCAUCACACUCAGUACCCGCAACUAAGUCUGAUGAACUAAGUUCUAUCCCUGGACCUGUGUGGCGGAAGGAGAGAACCAACUCCUCUAAGUUGUCGUCUGUGCACCCCUUGCUACCACAUUAAUAAGUAAAAAUGCUUGUCAUUGUAUCUACUGUAAGCAGUGUGCGAGCACGGAAGAGUGAUGUUCAAUGUUAACAGACCGGGGUGAGAGCUGAGAUAGCCCGAGUUAGUAGUCUGUCAAGUACCUGAACUUACGUGCUAGAAUUGAUGAUGUCACAAGUGUGGCCUCUUUAGUGCUUUCUGCUCCCUGCUAGGUUCCUCUGCUGCCCUGGAGCCUGUCAGGUAAUGUACACCCGAUUCAGAGAGUUGGGGCCAUUGUAUGGUUUAGGAGAGGGGUCCUUCCUGAAGAAAAGGAAGGGUCAUCCCCUGUCUGACCCCCACUGUCCCCUCUCCUGUCUUAUGUCAUGCCCGCCCCCCAUAUGGGCAAGCUUUUCCUGCAAUCCUGUGAGAGAACUUCUUCUGCCACAGUCCUGGAGGACUCAGAGCCGGCGCCACGGCACAAUCCUUUAGAACACUGGCUGUGUCCUACUCUCCCAGUGAAACCCUGAAGGACUUUACACCCCGUCAAGCACAAGCACUCUCCUAGGGUCCCGUGGACUGCAAGAAAUGGUUUUCCUGGUGGCCAUGUUUCAGCACCUGCACGACUUACCUUCUUCAAAAUGGUGAGAAUCUGCAAAGCUUAGAACAGAGGAGGUCGGAUGGUCAGGUUGCUAAGUAUUUUAAAGGACUCCUUAUGGUCCUGACUCAGGGAACAGGUUCAUUCCAAGGCCUGAAUCCAUUUCAGAGUGAUGCUUUGGACAGCCAUGGCAACUAAAUGAAGGGGACAGAGGGAAGUGACUCCCACAGGAGACCCCAGAUACUUGUGCUAGAUUGGUAGUGAUUUCUCUGGUUGACUACACUGUUUAGCCAAAUUCCUGGAGCCCACAUUCCCAGUCACCAGAUCCAGGGUUUGCAAAGCAUCUAGAGGUCCUUGUGUGGCUGGGGGUGUAGCCUAGCUGCAAAGUGUUUGUAUGGCUUGUUCGAGGCCCUAGCCCCACGAAAAGGAAGCCUCGGUACCUGUGCCCAGCACAUGGACCCCACGGUCUGCGUCAAGGACUUCCAUAUUACUAGUCCUUGGCUUGGGGUUGGGUUGGGCAGUGGAAGGCUCUGCGAUAGGUGGUUGGGCUAGGAGGAGAGAGGUGGGAGAGUUCCCUCCUCCCUGCUUUAGUCCCUCUGUGACAUCACUUAUGCUUGCAACCUGCUCCUGCAAGACACCAAGGCUUAUGGGAUCUACUUCCCCACUUCCUUUUCCUGCCUUCUCAAGCAGAGUGGUAGUCAAAAGUGCCUGUGACCCUGGACACUGCAAGUGUCCUUGACCCCGUCCCCCUGAAAGUGAGCCCUUCAUUCAAGUCUGUACAUUGGACACAGCUAAGCUGUAUCUUGUCACCGUGGUACCCUGACCAGGACAACCUUCUAAAAUCCCUUCUCUGAGAGAGGUCUCCAUUGGGCGGGUUCUCUCCUGAGUGAGCAGGGCAAAGAAAUUACAGGUUCUCUUCUGUCUAGAUUUAUGAAGGCCUUGUUAGUGACUUGACUUUGCAUAAGUUAAAUAAUUAAAAUUUAUGUAGAUAACCCCCCUCAAUCCACAGAUGCAAAGUUUUUUUUGUUCUUUCAUUCAAUGGGUAGCUACUGGGCAUCAGCAGAUCCAGCUCUGACACUGGAAACAUCUAUAGUUAUGGACACACAAGAUGACACAGUCCCCGCCCCCAUGGUGCACGGUCUACACGAGAUGGUCUCCCAGAAGUCAGAUGGCUCAUGAGAGGCCGAGCUGAAACCAGAGAAGUGAGUUUCCCUAAUUCUUUUAAGUCCUCAGCAGAUUCCCAAAGAGAUCUAUAACCCGAAAAUAACACAGAAGCAAACAUUAGGUCAGACCAAAUGAGCUACCAAGUCCUCUUGGGAUUUUUGAAACAGGGUCUCAUUAUGUAGCCCAGGGCCGUCUCGAACACAUCAUCCUUCUGCCCCAGCUUCCCAAGAACAGCCUCAGGCAGGUGGCACCGUGCUCAGCUACCAAACUUCCCAAUGGAUCAGAGAAUAGUGAGCCACAGACUAGACAAACUCCUGAGAGACGUGCCUCCUGACACACACUCUUGGUGAUACGGCCACCUGCUUCUUCUGCCUCCCGGGUAUUCUCUCCAGCCCUCUCCUCUUGUCUCUCUUCCCUGCUUCUUGUGUUUCUCACACUUUUAUAAUUAGCCUCACGGCAAUCUCCCUGUCACUCCCUCGGGGCCUGCAGUUUGGCAGCACAGCCCGUGAGCUGUUUUUAUGAAUGGAGAGAGAGGUGGGCGGUGAGUCCGGAGGAAUGCCCUCCUUGUAUUUCACCGGCGAAGACACUGAAUCAACUUCAGUGCUUAGAAAAUAAGGACUAAGGGAGCCUUAGAGCAGUGGCUGGGAUAAACUGAGGAGGGUGUGGAGAAAGCAGCAAGCCCUGGGGUCUGCUUGCUUCCUUGGGCCCUCUGGAAAUAUUCAAAUUUCCUCCAGUAACCCAAUACUUCCCCUGUACCAGGUCGGGAAGGACAAGGGCGACAGCCUGGUGGUGCCUGCAGAAAAUGUUGCCUGGCUGGCUGACCAAGCAAGCCGUCUUCAACCUCCCAGCCCUGCACUCAGAGAGGCACAUCUGGCUUCCAGAGUGACCCUCUGGAAGCCCUCACCACUCCUAGAACCUCUAGAUGGGUUGUCAGAGCUGAAGAGAAGAAAGCCUAACAUGAGAGCAACCAGGGCUGAGGAGACGGCAAGCCCUGCUGACAGUGGCCAGGCAGAAUCCCUUGCCCUUCAGCGAGGUUGACAGAUAUUUGCUUCACAACAUUCUAAGAGAGGGAAGCCGUGGUCAUCAGUUACCUGCUGAGAUUGGGAGGACACUGUUGAUGAAAGUUGGCUGCGACACGAUGGAGCAGAAGAAGAGUUGGAGAUAAAUUCCCAAAGUCAUUGGAUUCAGGACAGCCAUGCUGGCCGGGUCUGUCUGAGGUAAGUGGCUACGGAAAAGAUGAGAAAGAGGGCAGCCAAGUCUCCAGUGUUUACCUCACCACCCUCAAGGGCAGAUGGACUUCUUGCUCCAUUGCCCACCAUCAGCUAUAGACUGGGAACGCACUGUCCUGCCCUACCACUGAUCAAGUCUCUGGCAUAAACUGCCUUCGGUGUGGACAAGCUGCAGGUCUGGGACAGUCUCACCCACCAGUAGCAAACUCAAGUCUCGAGUUGAGCUGGGACUUUCUGCUGGGGAACUUGCACUUCCAAACAGCUGUUGCUAUGAAAAGAUACCCCACCCCACCCCCCACUCCCCACCUCCAGAAGCUGCAACCCUUUAACCUCACACAAAACAAAGCAGAUGCAAACAGUGAACGCACGUUGAAGUGAGCCAUUCGCUAUCAAAUUGUUCUUGGAGCAACGACAUCGUCAACUUAAUCUUGGUUAGGCGAAAUUUCCUGAAACAAAAGUAAUUCCAGGGGCUAGGGAGAUGUCUCAGCAGUUAAGAGCAUGUACACGCAAAAUUUAGUUUCCGGCCUCUGUGCACUGUAGCUCACAACUGCCUGUGGCCCUAAGAAAGGAGAUCUGAUGCCUCUGAUGUCCCAGGGCACCUGCGCUCAUGUGGACAUACCCCACCCCUACCCCAUCCUACCGCACCUUCCAUAAAGAUAAAUAAAAAACAAAAAAUACUAUUAAAAGAGUUUGUAAAGACUAUUACGGUGAUCCUUAGAUUAAAAAAACCAAUUAAAAUACUAAUCCAUAUUCGAUUAGCUUUAAUUUAUAUAAUAUACUCAUUGUAAAGGUUUAUUCAGAUCCAGUGAGUACUGGUACUCAUCUGGGGCAAGGUAAGCUGAGGCCGGGGUGGAGAGUAUGACGAUACCACGCUCUGCAGCUCAGAACCAGACUUGGCCCUGAUUCAGCUCUAAGUGGCUGAAGACAAACUGUUUGUUCCCCUGUACGCCUCUGCUGUCUCAUCCGAGAGACAGAGAUAGUUCCCUUCACAGGGUUGUUGGAAAGGUUAAAUGAGAAGCUGUGGGAUGAAUUGUACUCAGGCUAGAACUUAGAGGCAGGACAGUGAAAUCCAAAGAGCUGUGGUAGGCGAGGUACAAAGAUGCUCGUCCAAAUACCUUACAUCUCCAGUGUGUACGUCAUUCAAGUACCAGAAAAAGAGCAGAAAUAGCUAAUUGAUAAAAAGCUGAUGUAGUCACCACAGUGACAGCUGCCCUUUGGGGCCCCUCAGAGACGUGCCUACAAGCCUCCACUCUUUAAGGAAUUCUUAGGGAAUUUCUGCUUGCCAGUGUAUUUUAUGAGCCUCUUUCCUAUGAUACUCCAACUACCCAAGGCAGAAUGAUCAUUUUAUUCAGACCCUUCCAGAAGGACUGACUCCUGCAGAAUCUAGGAACUGAGGCCAUGUGUCCAUGAGGAAGUCACCUAGCAUUUGAGAGAGGCUCACACCAAUGAAGCCAAUCAGAACCUGCCUCCUAGACGGUUCAGAUAGGAAUGUUGGCUGGAGAAUAAUUCCUGUUAAAAAAUAGGUACCACCGUACUGAGGAAUUGUGGGAAACAGUCAACUGCCCAGUGGCUAGGUUCAAAAAUAUACAUUGUUCAUCGGAAUGAAAAUAGUAACCCAUGGUAUGCAAUCAUUGAAAAAUAUAGGAAGGGAAUAUACAUCAGUGGUAGAGCACUUGCCAAGAAUGCAGGAGGCCCUGGGUUGGAGUCCCUAGCAUAGAAAAAAAAUGCAAAAAUCUUUGUACCAAGAGGUGCUAGAAAAAAAUGGAACGUCAACAUACAAAACAGAAAUGAAGAGUAACUCUUUCUUACCUUAGCCCACCUGUUAAGAAUUAGCUCAGGAGAAUGAUGGUUUGUAUAUGCUUGGCCUAGGGUGGCACCAUUAGGAGGCAUGACCUUGCUGUGUCAC